AUUGAACGCUGGCGGCAUGCCUUACACAUGCAAGUCGUACGGCAUCGCGGGAAAGCUUGCUUUCCUGGCGGCGAGUGGCGAACGGGUGAGUAACACAUCGGAACGUACCGGCUAGUGGGGGAUAACCCGUCGAAAGACGGGCUAAUACCGCAUACGCUCUUCGGAGGAAAGCAGGGGACCUUUGGGCCUUGCGCUAGCCGAGCGGCCGAUGUCCGAUUAGCUAGUUGGUGGGGUAAAGGCCUACCAAGGCGACGAUCGGUAGCGGGUCUGAGAGGACGAUCCGCCACACUGGGACUGAGACACGGCCCAGACUCCUACGGGAGGCAGCAGUGGGGAAUCUUGGACAAUGGGGGCAACCCUGAUCCAGCAAUGCCGCGUGGGUGAAGAAGGCCUUCGGGUUGUAAAGCCCUUUCGGCAGGGAAGAAAUCGGCGGGGCGAAUAACCCUGCUGGAUGACGGUACCUGCAGAAGAAGCACCGGCUAACUACGUG
rnacentral:rRNA from 1 species